CAGUUGGCAGACGAUGUGACUAUAACUCCCAGAAGACAGUGCGAACGCAAUGCCGCAUACGGAACGCAUUGGCGAUGCUCUCCGUACGGCAGCGACACGUCUCCGUGUUUCGCGCAUGUGCUUGGACAUUUAAAGUUUUUUAGAUCAACACAGUCCUCUGUUCAUGAGCCCAGCAGACAACAUUUUCAUAUGCCUUUACCAAUAGCACUGGAACAAACUGCUAAGAACUUCUUAAGGUCAACACAGGGGCAUCUGAAAAUGGGCUUCUGACAGGAUCUAAUCUGCUCACUGGAUAGAAUUGCAAGACAGCAGAAGAUCUGGGAGGUGAGUUGAGAGGCAGUGCACGUUGAAUGGGAUUGAUAAGCCUGCAUAAAAGUGCAUUAAAAACUUAAAAUGAAUGAAUAUAAUUAUUGUGCAAAAAUUGUGGCUGGUUUACUUUAGGUACGACCUAUUAUGAAUAUAGACAGAGGAACUUAACAUUUAGAAAGUAUUGAUGUAUUAAAAUGCAAUGAAAGUAAUCUAGGCACAA